rnacentral:sRNA from 1 species
AGUCAUUAUUUGAAUGGUUUGUGCAAUUGACAUAUGCCUCAGUUUUUGUUUUUGUUUUUUAACCAAUAAGCAUGGAAAAAAAAAAACCUCCUAUGUUGGUUUCUUAUUUUUCAUAUAUAGAAAGUCAUAUGGAAUACUCCUGCUAUAUGGCUAUCUCUGAUCUUCUGCCCCAGGAUAUAUUUUUCAGGCAUUGAAGGACUGAUGCCUUGGAUGGUAUACUGUAAAUUCAGCAUAUGGAGAUACCAUUAUCAUACCUUGCCGACUUGAUGUACCUCAGAAUCUCAUGUUUGGCAAAUGGAAAUAUGAAAAGCCCGAUGGCUCCCCAGUAUUUAUUGCCUUCAGAUCCUCUACAAAGAAAAGUGUGCAGUACGACGAUGUACCAGAAUACAAAGACAGAUUGAGCCUCUCAGAAAACUACACGUUGUCUAUCAGUAAUGCAAGGAUCAGUGACGAAAAGAGAUUUGUGUGCAUGCUAGUAACUGAGGACAACGUGUUUGAGGCACCUACAAUAGUCAAGGUGUUCAAGCAACCAUCUAAACCUGAAAUUGUAAGCAAAGCACUGUUUCUCGAAACAGAGCAGCUAAAAAAGUUGGGUGACUGCAUUUCAGAAGACAGUUAUCCAGAUGGCAAUAUCACAUGGUACAGGAAUGGAAAAGUGCUACAUCCCCUUGAAGGAGCGGUGGUCAUAAUUUUUAAAAAGGAAAUGGACCCAGUGACUCAGCUCUAUACCAUGACUUCCACCCUGGAGUACAAGACAACCAAGGCUGACAUACAAAUGCCAUUCACCUGCUCGGUGACAUAUUAUGGACCAUCUGGCCAGAAAACAAUUCAUUCUGAACAGGCAGUAUUUGAUAUUUACUAUCCUACAGAGCAGGUGACAAUACAAGUGCUGCCACCAAAAAAUGCCAUCAAAGAAGGGGAUAACAUCACUCUUAAAUGCUUAGGGAAUGGCAACCCUCCCCCAGAGGAAUUUUUGUUUUACUUACCAGGACAGCCUGAAGGAAUAAGAAGCUCAAAUACUUACACACUGACAGAUGUGAGGCGCAAUGCAACAGGAGACUACAAGUGUUCCCUGAUAGACAAAAAAAGCAUGAUUGCUUCAACAGCCAUCACAGUUCACUAGUUAGCACUUUGAACAGAUUUUCUGCUUCACAGAUUUGGAUUUGUCCUUAAACCCCAGUGGAGAAGUGACCAGACAGAUUGGUGAUGCCCUACCCGUGUCAUGCACAAUAUCCGCUAGCAG